rnacentral:rRNA from 1 species
UAAGACAGAGGAGCCAAGCGUUGUCCGGAUUGACUGGGCGUAAAGCGCACGCAGGCGGAGAGGCGCGUGGGGUGUGAAAGCUGGUGGCUUAACUGCCAGUCGCCAUCCCAUACGGCCACUCUGGAGCCUUGCAGAGGGCAGUGGAAUUGCCGGUGUAGUGGUGAAAUGCGUAGAGAUCGGCAGGAACACCCAGGGGGAAACCAGCUGCCUGGGCAAGCGCUGACGCUGAGGUGCGAGAGCGUGGGGAGCGAACCGGAUUAGAUACCCGGGUAGUCCACGCCGUAAACGAUGGCCACUCGGCCUUUGGUGGCGGAAUCUCCGUCGCUGGGGGCCCUAGCUAACGCGAGAAGUGGCCCGCCUGGGAACUACGAGCGCAAGCUUA